AAAAAUUUAAACAUAUUUAAUUUAAAAAUUCCAGCAGUUUUUCCAACGUUAUAAAGGCACACGUGUGGGCUCAGCUCACAGCCAGAUAAGGUUACCAUCUUCUUCUUCUUCUUCCUCAUACUCUCACGACAUUCUUACCUUCUUUCUCUCUGAACGCUUAAAUGCCGAGAAGUUUAGAGCCGUUGGAUCUUGGAAUCCAGAUACCGUACCAUUUCAGAUGUCCAAUCUCAUUAGAGCUGAUGCGCGACCCAGUCACCGUCUGCACCGGUCAAACCUACGAUCGAACAAGCAUCGAAUCAUGGGUCUCCACCGGUAACAACACCACGUGUCCAGUCACACGCGCUCCUUUGUCCGACUUCACACUCAUCCCAAACCACACUCUCCGCCGUCUCAUCCAAGAAUGGUGCGUCGCUAACCGCUCCAACGGCGUCGAGCGUAUCCCCACACCCAAACAGCCAGCUGACCCCACCUCCGUUCGCGCUCUCCUCAGCCAAGCCUCCGCGACUUCCGGAGCUCACGUCUCGGCUCGCUCACGCGCCGCCGCUCUCCGUCGUCUACGUGGCUUCGCGCGGGACUCCGAGAAGAACCGCGUUUUGAUCGCGGCUCAUAACGCUAAAGAGAUUCUGAUUAGGAUCUUGUUCUCCGACGAUAUCGAUUCAUCGGAGUUGGUCUCUGAAUCGCUCGCUCUUCUCGUUAUGUUCCCGAUGACGGAGCAUGAUAAAUGCGUUUCGAUCAUUUCGGAUCCGGGUCGGGUAGAGUUUUUAACCCGGUUACUGUUCGAUUCCUCGGUGGAGACACGUGUCAACGCAGCCGCGUUGAUCGAGAUGGCGGUUACAGGAUCGAAGGAAACGGUUUCGAAUUCCGAAUCCAUUUUCGAAGGAGUCCUCGAUCUUCUACGCAAUCCGGCGUCCUCGUACCCGCGGCGAGCUCUCAAGAUCGGAAUCAAAACGCUCUUCGCGCUCUGCCUCUCGAAGAACACGCGCCACGUCGCGGUCUCCGCCGGCGCGCCGGAGAUUCUGAUCGACAGGCUCGCGGCGGGGUUAGACAGGUGCGACACGGAGCGAGCGUUAGCGACGGUGGAGAUUCUCUGCCGAUCUCCGGAGGGAUGCGCGGCGUUCGGGGAGCACGCUCUGACGGUUCCGGUUCUUGUCAAGACGAUUCUGAGGGUUUCUGAUAGGGCGACGGAGUACGCGGCGGGGGCGCUGCUGGCGCUUUGCACGGCGGAGGAGAGGUGGAGAGACGAGGCGGCGGCGGCGGGAGUGGUGGUUCAGUUGCUGCUGAUGGUGCAGAGUGAGUGUACGGAGAGGGCGAAGAGGAAGGCGCAGAAGCUGCUGAAGCUUCUGAGAGACUCGUGGCCUGACUACUCCUUCGCUAACUCCGAUGAUUUCGCCUGCAGCGAAGUGGUCCCCUUUUGAUUUUUUAAAAUUAAUUUUCUUUUUAUUGUUUCAACAGUAAUUAAUUAUAGUCUUUUAUAUUUUCUGAUAAAAUAGAAGGAAGUGUGGUCAUUUCUUAUGUGUAUUUUGAUGGAAAAUGUGAAUUAAGAAAAGAAAAAAUACAGAAGUUUUGAUGAGCAUAAGUUAGGUUAUAUGCAUUAUAUUGAAGUGUAAGUCACUAAUGUCUCUUCAUAUUGAUUGGCUUUUUGAGUUGGGAAAAGUUGUUAAAAAGCAAAUGGAAGAUAUGCUAAAGUCUUUAAAGUUAUCCUUUCAUUUUCCUCUUUUAGUCUAAAGGCUAGUCAACUUUCUGCAUUACAGUUAUUAAAACAGGUUGUUCAGAUUUAACCCAUUGAGUGGUGUGACUAGGGAUGUUAACAAUGGGUUUUUACCCAUAGGGUACCCUAAACCCGGUUGGAAUUUAAAAACCAAAACCCGUAUAUUCAGUUUUCAAAAUUCGCGGGUUUAUUUUGGGCGGGUCUUGAUUUAUAAAUUACCCGUUCGGGUUUUUGUUAUUAUAAGAAAUAAUUGUCAUCAAUCAUUAAUGUUAUAUUCAUAGCUACAUCUACACCUCACUAAAUACGUUAAAAUAUGUGCAUAUGAUUCUAGUUUGUUAUUUAUAAGAAAUAAAGGUAAUAGGCAUGAUAUAUAUAAGAACAUCUUCAUUUCAACUGCAUAAUAUACUACAAAAUGAAGUGGAAAAUUCAGUCAUGAACAAACAAAAAAGCAUUACUCCAUUUAUAGAGUACUGAUUUUUUUUCUUUCAUGAUAGCAUUUUUCACUCUAUUUUGCAGUAAAAUAUGCAAUUGGAUUGGAAAUGUCCUAAAUUAUAUAGUUUUGUUUUGUUUGCCGGAGAUUUUAAAUCCUAUAAAUCAUAAGGAACAUGCUGGCUCUAGCCAUGGAGAUCUUAACCAUAAUAUAUAGGUUUUGACAUAAAUAUACAUAUAUAAACCGACUCUUUCGAUAUCUGAAUUUUAAUUUCAAAAUACAUAAUUUUGAAACGUUUUAAAGAAUACCAGAAUCAGACUAUCUAUAUAUGAUGAUUUCGAACAAUACUAUUUGUACUAAAACAAUGUUUAGAAUUUAGACAAGAGUAUUUAUAUAUUUAAAUUAAUUGUAUAGCAUUGCUAAAUUUAAAUUCUAUUUUCCGGUAAGAGAUUCUUUGUUUCACCGGGAGAGGAUACAAUGCAUAUGACUACCAAAACAUUCAACAGAAGUAACAAAAGCAAAAAUACAUAAAAGCUUCUUAGUUGUUCCCAUGAGAACAAUGCAAUGACAGACCGGAAGAUUCUGCCCCUUUGUUGUUCAUCACUUUCUUGUCUGCACAUAAACUUAAAUUUAUAAAGAAAUUAUCAAUAAAUUAAAAUCAGAAGAAUUUGAUAAGAAAUAUUAAGGUCCAUUACAUAAGAAGUUAUUAAGGUCCAAGUCCACCUCACGAGUUUAUUUUGAUUUCAAUGUAUUUGUCGUGUAAUAUCUGUCUUCAUUCGAUAAUUUAUUUUAGACAAACAAAACCCUCCACUGACAAAAUUAAAAUUCAUUUAUUUACACAUUUCUCUUUCGGUAUAUAGAGAGCAUCAGAUCUCUACACACUGUGUCGUGAGAAACAAGAUUUGGUUUCAAAAUGUGAUUAUGUUAGCUAGUUUCUUUUGAAUUGAUAGCAGGAAUUUUGAAGGCAACUUUUACAAAAGUCUCAAUAAAGUUAUCGCUGAAGUUUCUACCCUACUUAACGCCAACACAUAAAACAUAUCUUAAAUUUCACUACUUUGAAUGUUUGUAAAUAAUUGAGUGAAGUCUAGAUACUAAAGCGCCAUAUCAAAUCGAUAUAUGGUUUCGAGUUUCGAGUCUCAACUACUACUAAUAUAGCUAGUCAUUGACUUAUCGAAUCAAUAAUAAAGGAGAUGAGAUAAAAGUUACUAACUAGUUUUUGAAUCAGAUGAGCUGCAGACUAGAGAAUAGCUAAUAUUAUAUGACGACUUUCGUCUCUAGAUUUUGUAGAAUUAGGUGUUUCUAACUUUCUAAGACUUCGAAGUAAAAAUAUUGUUUCAUUAUGAAGAAAAAUAAAAACAAAAAAUACAAAACCAAUGAACAAACUGAGAUAAGUAAAGAAAAAAAAAACCAUAGUAUUCCCAUUUCCCUUUGAAAUUGUUAGAUGUUUUGAACCUUUUGCUUUUUGUGUCUUUAAAUUAAAUGCUCUUUUUUUUUAACUUAAAUCUUGUAGUUUUUUUUAAACUUUGGGUAUCAUGCUUAUGGAGAGAUCCAGACUAAUUUCCAAAGAAUGGUGUGAUUUACAAAUGAAUUUUUACUACUACAAAUAUUCGAAUGAGCCGUAAAAUAAGUCCACGAGAUGAAUUGUAGUGUGGACCCGGGUUGUUUGGCAAUCUCAAAAUUUCCUACCAUUAGACCAUCACCUCAUGGUUUGAAAUCUUGUAGUUGAAGAAAUAGUACAAAAGUAGUUAGACAAAUAAACGGAAGAAAUUCAAGAUUUACCACAAAUGACUAGGUUAAAUCUCUUAAUUGAGAUGAUAAGUCUAAGAUGUAUUGUGAUUAAGAUUAGUGAAAGUUGUUGCUGAGAAAAUUUUAGUUUAGAUGAAGGCAUUGAUAGAGAUACGUGCAAAAAGAAAGUGGGGUUAUAUUAGAAUACGUGAAUCAGAAACGAGUCAAAGUUUUUGCCGUAAAAGAAAAAACAGUCAAGGCUUUUAGAUUUGGUUGUAUUAUUAUGGCUAGGCGGUGUGAUUAUCACGGGUCCUUGAUGUUAACUUAAGUAAGUGGAUGUUGUCUUCCCUGGGACCUUCUGCGUUCCUAGUCGUUCGCAAUUCACUGAUUUAGUUUGACCAAAUUAUAAUUCGAGAUCUGAUUUUUAAUACACACAUCAGUGUUUUGGUGGUUGUCUGUAGUGAUUAAAAGCGAUCGAAACUUGAAGCUUGCGACUGAAAAAAGUUUGUUAUGUCAUGAUUAUUCAUAAUUGAGAUUUCUAGAUACGCAAACGUUAAUUAAUUAAACUCGUAUAUUAUGGAAAAAUAUUAACAGAUAUUUACGAUUAAAUGUUACUAUUAUAUUGUUUUAAUUGCUAUCCAUCCAUCCAGGCAUCCAUGCAGUGAACUGAAUUUUCCUGCAACAUGUUUGAUAUGUAAGAAAAAAACAACAUUUCAAUGGCAUCUGGAUUCUCUUAUUAUUGUUUUACAUGUAUUUGGUGAUUUCCAAAAAAAUUAUCGAUGCGUAAGCUUAUCAAAAGAUACAACUACUAUACCAUUACCAAAUGGCAUAUUAUGUUUUUAGUAAAAUAUGGAGCUAUGAUAUUUUUUAAAGCCAAAAUGGGAAAAAAUAAAAUCAAGAUUGAUGGAAAUGAAUUUGAUACGUAGGAUUUGGUAUCAUAAUUUCAGCAUUUCAGAACUAUUGUUGAAAGAAUUGGUUUCUUAUGCAGUGUAAAAAUUAUAGGUCCAUGCAAAAAGUGCUAUCCAUCCAUUCACAUAAAUCGCAUAAGAGAAAGAUUAUAUACGAAAGAAAAUAAUUGAAAUCAACCAUUAUAUAUCUUGCAGGCUAACCCAUUAAUUUCUUUUCUAUGCUACUAUAAUUUACAGGACGUAUAAUAAACACACAAAUACACUCUGUAAGAUAAUCAUAAUACAUAAUUGUAUAUCAUUCACAUAAACCUUAAGCUUCACUUCUAAGAUGCCACUUUUUCCCCCUUAGGAUAUAUAUUACGUAGGUGGCAUCUUAUUCUUAAUGAUGUUCGAUUAAAAAUUUAAACAUAUUUAAUUUAAAAAUUCCAGCAGUUUUUCCAACGUUAUAAAGGCACACGUGUGGGCUCAGCUCACAGCCAGAUAAGGUUACCAUCUUCUUCUUCUUCUUCCUCAUACUCUCACGACAUUCUUACCUUCUUUCUCUCUGAACGCUUAAAUGCCGAGAAGUUUAGAGCCGUUGGAUCUUGGAAUCCAGAUACCGUACCAUUUCAGAUGUCCAAUCUCAUUAGAGCUGAUGCGCGACCCAGUCACCGUCUGCACCGGUCAAACCUACGAUCGAACAAGCAUCGAAUCAUGGGUCUCCACCGGUAACAACACCACGUGUCCAGUCACACGCGCUCCUUUGUCCGACUUCACACUCAUCCCAAACCACACUCUCCGCCGUCUCAUCCAAGAAUGGUGCGUCGCUAACCGCUCC
rnacentral:lncRNA from 1 species